GUGGGGAAUAUUGGACAAUGGGGGGAACCCUGAUCCAGCCAUGCCGCGUGUGUGAAGAAGGCCUUUUGGUUGUAAAGCACUUUAAGCGAGGAGGAGGCUACCGAGAUUAAUACUCUUGGAUAGUGGACGUUACUCGCAGAAUAAGCACCGGCUAACUCUGUGCCAGCAGCCGCGGUAAUACAGAGGGUGCAAGCGUUAAUCGGAUUUACUGGGCGUAACGCGCGCGUAGGUGGCCAAUUAAGUCAAAUGUGAAAUCCCCGAGCUUAACUUGGGAAUUGCAUUCGAGACUGGUUGGCUAGAGUAUGGGAGAGGAUGGUAGAAUUCCAGGUGUAGCGGUGAAAUGCGUAGAGAUCUGGAGGAAUACCGAUGGCGAAGGCAGCCAUCUGGCCUAAUACUGACACUGAGGUGCGAAAGCAUGGGGAGCAAACAGGAUUAGAAACCCGGGUAGUCC
rnacentral:rRNA from 1 species